rnacentral:rRNA from 1 species
CCUACGGGUGACAGCAGUGGGGAAUAUUGCACAAUGGGGGAAACCCUGAUGCAGCGACGUCGCGUGAGUGAUGAAGUAUUUCGGUAUGUAAAGCUCUAUCAGCAGGGAAGAAAAUGACGGUACCUGACUAAGAAGCCCCGGCUAACUACGGUCCAGCAGCCGCGGUAAUACGUAGGGGGCAAGCGUUAUCCGGAUUUACUGGGGGUAAAGGGAGCGUAGACGGCGGUGCAAGCCAGGUGUGAAAGGCCGGGGCUCAACCCCGGGACUGCAUUUGGAACUGUGCGGCUAGAGUGUGGGAGAGGCAGGCGGAAUUCGUAGUGUAGCGGUGAAAUGCGUAGAUAUUACGAGGAACACCAGUGGCGAAGGCAGCCUGCUGGACGAUGACUGACGUUGAGGCUCGAAAGCGUGGGUAGCAAACAGGAUUAGAUACCCCUGUAGUC